UGAGGUAGAAAAGCAGAUAAAAGAAUGGUUAGACAGAGGAAUUAUUCAACAAAAGAUGAAAUAGAAGCUUUAAUAAGAUUAAAAGAAGUUUUAAAAGUAGCAUCACAAUAUGGAUUAAUAAUAAACUGGAAGAAAGCCAAUUUGAUAACAAAAAGUAUUACAUUCUUAGGACAUGAGAUUUGUAAUGGUAAGCGAUACUCAUGCAACGUGAUGAAAAUAAUGAACUACACCCUGUUUAUUACAUGAGCCGUAAAAAUAGUCCACAGGAAGA